rnacentral:misc_RNA from 1 species
CCGCGAUCCGGGACACGGCGGCGAGAUCCUCGAACGACUCCUCCUUCUUCUUCUCCCCCGCUGCCUCGGCCGCCGGCCGCUCGCACUUGGCCACCGCCGCCGCCGCCGCCGGAGCAGCCGCCACGGGCCGGAACUCCCGGAGGCUGUGUCCGCUCAUGUACCAGUCAGCCGCCAUUACGCUGGUGCUCUCGCCGCCGAGCAGCUCCGACAGCAGCAGCACGAUCGACGCCAUCGACCAAAGCUCAAAAAACCUCACACAACAACGAGAUCGAUCCGAGUGGGGG